rnacentral:lncRNA from 1 species
UACUACAUACAUAAUCCUUGUGAUCAAUUCAGAAAAUAGUAUCGCAUUAGUUCGUUGUGUGAAGCUUAGCUGACUAUGCCUGAGGCUUGUACGAUUAGGAGUACGAUUCACACUUUGAUUAGGCUAAUGCCUCAUGGGUAGAUAUAGAACAAUAGUUAGUUUGAGAGAUGUAUACAAAUAGGCUAAUGUCUCAUGGGUAGACAGAAGAACAAAUAGGUAGUUUGAAAGAUGUAUUUUCAAGUGUGACAUUCUCAAAACGGAAACUGAUGAAAUUAAAAAUGGUUUUGGGGAUUGCAGGAUGAAGACGAUGACGAGUGAGCCUUCCAGUGGACAAGAUGGGAGCAGCAAGACGCUAAGGGCGGCGGGCGUCCUAAGGAGCCUAUCCAUCAUCAUCAUCGUCUACUAGAAUUAUUCAGUUUCACUUCACAUCG